rnacentral:sRNA from 1 species
AACUGCAAGCCUUGAAAACACACAUGCACCGGCACAUGGUCCCGGGUGCCUUUGAACGCCACACGGCGUCACUGGUCGGAUCCAUGGGGUGCGUGGAGGCCUAAC